UACGAAGGGGGCUAGCGUUGUUCGGAAUUACUGGGCGUAAAGCGCACGUAGGCGGAUUGUUAAGUCAGAGGUGAAAUCCCGGAGCUCAACUUCGGAACUGCCUUUGAUACUGAGGAUCUUGAGUUCGGGAGAGGUGAGUGGAACUGCGAGUGUAGAGGUGAAAUUCGUAGAUAUUCGCAAGAACACCAGUGGCGAAGGCGGCUCACUGGCCCGAUACUGACGCUGAGGCACGAAAGCGUGGGGAGCAAACAGG
rnacentral:rRNA from 1 species